rnacentral:rRNA from 1 species
AUUGAACGCUGGCGGCAGGCUUAACACAUGCAAGUCGAACGGUAACAUAAAGAAGCUUGCUUCUUUGAUGACGAGUGGCGGACGGGUGAGUAAUGCUUGGGAAUCUAGCUUAUGGAGGGGGAUAACUACGGGAAACUGUAGCUAAUACCGCGUAGUAUCGGAAGAUGAAAGUGUGGGACCUUCGGGCCACAUGCCAUAGGAUGAGCCCAAGUGGGAUUAGGUAGUUGGUGAAGUAAAGGCUCACCAAGCCGACGAUCUCUAGCUGGUCUGAGAGGAUGACCAGCCACACUGGGACUGAGACACGGCCCAGACUCCUACGGGAGGCAGCAGUGGGGAAUAUUGCGCAAUGGGGGCAACCCUGACGCAGCCCUGCCGCGUGAAUGAAGAAGGCCUUUCGGGUUGUAAAGU